rnacentral:rRNA from 1 species
UGAGCAAUCUGCCCUUCUCUUUGGAAUAAGCGUUGGAAACGACGUCUAAUGCCGAAUACGACCUCCUUUCGCAUGAUCGGAGGUGGAAAGCUCCGGCGGAGAAGGAUGAGCUCGCGGCCUAUCAGCUAGUUGGUGUGGGUAAUGGCCCACAAGGCGACGACGGGUAGCCGGCCUGAGAGGGUGACCGGCCACACUGGGACUGAGACACGGCCCAGACCUCCGUACGGGAGGNAGCG